UCCUACGGGGGGCAGCAGUGAGGAAUAUUGGUCAAUGGUCGGGAGACUGAACCAGCCAAGCCGCGUGAGGGAGGAAGGUACAGAGUAUCGUAAACCUCUUUUGUCAGGGAACAAAGACUGGGACGCGUCCCCGGAUGAGUGUACCUGAAGAAAAAGCAUCGGCUAACUCCGUGCCAGCAGCCGCGGUAAUACGGAGGAUGCGAGCGUUAUCCGGAUUUAUUGGGUUUAAAGGGUGCGCAGGCGGAAUGUCAAGUCAGCGGUAAAAUUUCGGGGCUCAACCCCGUCGUGCCGUUGAAACUGGCGUU
rnacentral:rRNA from 1 species